CAGUAGCCGCGGUAAUACGUAGGUGGCAAGCGUUGUCCGGAAUUAUUGGGCGUAAAGCGCGCGCAGGUGGUUUAAUAAGUCUGAUGUGAAAGCCCACGGCUCAACCGUGGAGGGUCAUUGGAAACUGUUAAACUUGAGUGCAGGAGAGAAAAGUGGAAUUCCUAGUGUAGCAGUGAAAUGCGUAGAGAUUAGGAGGAACACCAGUGGCGAAGGCGGCUUUUUGGCCUGUAACUGACACUGAGGCGCGAAAGCGUGGGGAGCAAACAGGACUAGAUACCCCAGUAGUCCCUGUCUCUUAUAC
rnacentral:rRNA from 1 species